UACGAAGGGGGCUAGCGUUGCUCGGAAUCACUGGGCGUAAAGGGUGCGUAGGCGGGUCUUUAAGUCAGGGGUGAAAUCCUGGAGCUCAACUCCAGAACUGCCUUUGAUACUGAAGAUCUUGAGUUCGGGAGAGGUGAGUGGAACUGCGAGUGCAGAGGUGAAAUUCGUAGAUAUUCGCAAGAACACCAGUGGCGAAGGCGGCUCACUGGCCCGAUACUGACGCUGAGGCACGAAAGCGUGGGGAGCAAACAGG
rnacentral:rRNA from 1 species